CGUAUGGCCCAGUGGUUGAGACGUCAGGCUAAUAGCCUGAACGUGGUAGGUUCGAGCCU
rnacentral:tRNA from 1 species